AGCAAACAGAUUCAUCAAUUUCUACUGUUAAAAACUAUUUUACUGACAAAAUAACUAGACAUUUACAUGUAUCGUGCCAUGUGUACCUCAUGUUGAUGUACAAGGGCUAGUUUUAAUAGUAAAAAUAGAUGAAAAUUUUAACA
rfam:Gossypium hirsutum cultivar TM-1 unplaced genomic scaffold scaffold799.1, whole genome shotgun sequence